AUAGAGUAGUAAUAGAUAAGAUCUUAAAACUUAAAAAAUUUGGCGGUAUUUUAAUCUAUUCAGAGGAACUUGUUUUAUAAUUGAUAAUCCUCAUUGAAUCUUACUUAAAUUUGUUUAAUUUGUAUACCGUUGUCAUAAGAAUAUCUUUAAAAAGAAAUAAUUUUCUAAUUUAAUAAUUAUUAGAUAUGUCAGAUCAAGGUGCAGUUUAUAUUUAAGAAAAAAUGAGUUACAAUUAAAUUUAUUAAUUAUGAAUUAAAAAUUUAAAAUGUUUUAUGAAGGUGGAUUUGAAAGUAAAUUUUUAGAGAUAGUAAAGUUGAUUUUAGUUCUAAAAUAUGCACACAU
rnacentral:rRNA from 1 species